CGCCCUUCCUACGGGAGGCAGCAGUGGGGAAUUUUGGACAAUGGGCGCAAGCCUGAUCCAGCCAUGCCGCGUGCGGGAAGAAGGCCUUCGGGUUGUAAACCGCUUUUGUCAGGGAAGAAAUCUUCUGGGUUAAUACCUCGGGAGGAUGNCGUNCCNAAG
rnacentral:rRNA from 1 species